GAUGAACGCUGACAGAAUGCUUAACACAUGCAAGUCUACUUGAAUUUGGGUUUUUUAACUUAGAUUUGGGUGGCGGACGGGUGAGUAACGCGUAAAGAACUUGCCUCACAGCUAGGGACAACAUUUGGAAACGAAUGCUAAUACCUGAUAUUAUGAUUAUAAGGCAUCUUAGAAUUAUGAAAGCUAUAUGCGCUGUGAGAGAGCUUUGCGUCCCAUUAGCUAGUUGGAGAGGUAACGGCUCACCAAGGCGAUGAGGGGUAGCCGGCCUGAGAGGGUGAACGGCCACAAGGGGACUGAGACACGGCCCUUACUCCUACGGGAGGCAGCAGUGGGGAAUAUUGGACAAUGGACCAAGAGUCUGAUCCAGCAAUUCUGUGUGCACGAUGACGUUUUUCGGAAUGUAAAGUGCUUUCAGUUGGGAAGAAAAAAAUGACGGUACCAACAGAAGAAGUGACGGCUAAAUACGUG
rnacentral:rRNA from 1 species